UAAUUCCCGUUUGCUAAUUAAUCGCAUUUGUUUCCCUCUUCGUGCGAAUGAUUAUUCAAAUUUAAAAUGUUCCCUCUCAUUUUCCAUCUUCACUUGAUGACAUAAAAGUGAAUACAUUUUCCUUUGUGUCUCUCUAUUUAUAGAAGUUGAUACAUUACAAGUUCAAUUGAAAAUGUUGCUUUUAUUUUGUUCCGUUAAUUUAAUUUAUUGUUGUUCAUUUUAAACGCAGUUUUAAUCUUCUACAGGUCAACAAUUAACAACGAUAAGUGAUUAUAAUUUAAUUUACAUUCCAAUUAGCGUUAACUUUAUUCAUCUACUAAAAUACAAAACAUCAACCGGACAAGAAUCAACAUCAACCAUCAACAGUUUUUUGCUUCAUUUUGUUUGUCUCUUUCUCUCAUUUGUCUUAUAUCUUGUUUGUUGACUUCUUUUGUUUAUAAUUAGGAUGAUGAUAAUUCCGUGAACCAGGGCAUCUUCAUCUUCAUCUUCAUCUCCAUCAUCAUGAUUCUUAUCAUCACCAUCAUCUUAAGCCCUUGAGUCUAAAUUGUUUUAAAUUGGCCUCAAACUGUCAAAUGAAGUUGCAGAUCAGUUAACAUUAUAUAGAAGGAUUAACUUUACAAUUAAAAUGAUUUACUCUUUCACACCGGAAAUUAUACAAUCAUUUGUCUCCAUCACCAUCAUGAUGAUUGAUUAAUUUGAUAAUAAUCUAUACAAUUCAUCUGAUCAUCAACACCACACACACACACUUCUCAUCUUUAUCAACAAAAACAACAACAGCUGAUACAUGAAACCUCGGGUUUAGAUUAACACUUAAAAACAAAUACGUGUGAAUGUUUUAUUUAUAUUAAUACUACAGAUAAGAAGAUUAAUUAACAAUCGACUUACCCGAUGACCUGAACAAUAUUCAAAGGAUUAACCAUUUGGAUGGAUUAACGUUGAAAAGUUGAUUAUGUUUACACUUUCAAUUCUUUCAUGGAUAAUCACAAUCAAGGAAACAGGAAGCUUCAAGACAAUCAACUAAUCAUUAACUGAAUCAAAUAAAUGGCAAUGUUGCUAAUAGAAAGUUGAAAAAUUGAAUCGCAAAGAAAAAAUCAUAGGAAAAUUAACCGUGAUGGUAAAUCAUUAAGCCAAAUCAAAUGAAACGAUUUAAUUAACUUAAUGGUCAACCAUUGUAAUAGUAAAUUGUUGGUCAAUUUGUAAGAUACAACUACGGUUUUCAUUUUUAAAAGGUUCCGGAUAGUUAAAGGUCAAUCAGGAUGAGUACCAACAAUCAGUUAAUUGUGGAGUCCCAACAAGAAGCCUUUAAUCAACAAUCACAAUAUUAUAAUCGAUUUAAUGUCAACAAUUAACUUAAUCCGAAUCUAUUUUCUGAUUUAUAUGCAAUUCGAUUGGAAAAAGUGAAAGCAUGAUGAUGGCAAACGAAACGAGAUGAUUAGUUAAUUGUUAUGGUGAUAGAGAAACAACUACAAUUAUCAUUAGAUUGUUUGAAAAUUCAUCAAAUCGUGUUAAUCAAAUUAAAAUUGAUUGUUCAACUAAUCAAUUGUAACCAAUUGAAUUUACCCGAGAAAACAAUUAGUAAAUUACAGAGAUUACACAACAAAUAAUCAAUAAUUAACUCUGAUCUAAAUUAAAUUUGUUUAUAAAUUAAA